AUCAAAGUGAUGCGCAGAAUCGCUCACAGUGAAAUGAAAAAAAUGUAUUUAUGCGCAGCGGAAAAUUCUUAAGAUACUCUUCGGAUAGCAUAAAAUAUAUCGUAAUAAUGAAGGUAUGUUAAAAAUCUUCCGCUAUGCACAAAUACAUUUUUUUCAAUUCACUGUGUACAAAACAAUUCUGCAUCACUUUGACGAUUACCAUAACUCAUUAUAACCGUUGACUAUAGGCAUUCCGAGAUGAUCCCUCUAUCAAAAUUUUCUGAAAAUCUCAAAUUAAAAAAAUGUUGCAACCUUUUAGUAACUGACAUACAUACAUACAAUGUAUACUCUUUACACAGCCAUUUACAUUGUUUCGAGCGAGUUUCCUGUGUGUCAGAGAUGAGUUGUUCGUUUACUGGUCAUUUUAUUUGGCGAGUCAUUCAAAUUGAGAAAAAGUAGAGAGCUAUAAUGCCUGGCUGUGUAGAUUAGUGCACAAAUUCUGCGAAAAAGAAUUUUAAGUAUCAUUUUCCUCGAGAUCCAAAAAGACGAAAAAUUUGAGCUGAAACACUGGACUCCGUCUAUUAAUAAUUCAGUGUUAUGUGAGGUACAUUUUAAUGCAGAAAUGUGGACUGAAUCGAAGAUUGGAAACAGCAAGCCUACUGAAAAAAGAAGCUAUUCGAAUUAUGUUUAGUAAACUCGUAGUUCAAAAUACACAGGAAGGUUGUCUACAUUAGACUCUCUCGUCGGCGCCUAUUCCUGCAGAAUGCCUCGCAGGACACUCGCGAUUCGUGAAUUGUGUGUAUUAAUGUACGGGGUUUUCCUAUUGGCUGCGCUACAUAGCCGUGUGGGAAUCAGGACCCGCGUAGAGUAUAGGCUCUAAAUAAACUAAAAAUCCUAUAACUCGUCUAUCCUGACGCGCUGAUCGUCUUGGUCACGUAUGCUUUUAAGGUUUAUGAAAUUAACAGAAAUUAUAUUAGUGAUAUAUUUCACAUUAUAAUAUAGAACACAGCUUAGAACUAAUCUUAUCUUACUAAAUCACUGAUCUUAAUUCUAAUUGAUUUGAUCGCGUAUCCAUGUUUUCAUCCGGUCUGCGGAUAUCAUACCAUACGUUA